AUAUGGAGCAUUGAAAUUUUAAAUUGGCCAUGACCCAAGAUCUAUGAAACCAUGUUCAAUGUACUGUGACUAUAGCAGUAGUUUGCAUUUUAAGAAA